ACAAAAAAAAGAGAGAUGGAGAGACUUCUAGUUACAUCAUAAAACCACCCAGAACAAGGACCACACCUGGAAUUUUCAGUUACAUGAAUCAACAGAUUCCAGUUUGGUUUUUUUAAGCCAGUCUGAGUUGGGAGCUGACUGCUUGCAGCCCAGAGCCCUGACACAUCACCAAAGUAGAGACGGGACCGAGCAACUGGACUUCAUAACCACCACAGGGGAGAAAGCAGCAGCAACUAUACUCCACUAUCUGUGAGAAGCCUGAGUUUACUGAGAAAGGGAAAAAAGACAAAAAAAGACAAAGUGCCUACUGCCUCUAAAAUUCUAUGCAGGGCUGUCUCAUUUCUUUCACUAACUGAAACAUAUACCAAGAAGACAAUUUAGGUGUCCCUAACUCACCACCUAAAACAGAUGGUUUCUAAGCACUACUACUAAAAGCUUUACAAGAGAAGACGAGGCUCAAUGGGAGUCAUUUCUAAGUUUUCAUUUCAGCUGCGCUUGUCCAUCAGUCUUGCCUGUACCCGACCAUGUGACACUAUAAGGCGAUGCUGUGCCCAUAUCAAGAGGCAAUUUCACUCCUGACUGCUAACGUACUAGUUGUUCUUGCUCCAGUGAUGAUACUGGAAACUGAAGUGAAAGAGACUGCACCAAAAAUACAACAGGAUGUGCUGGUAAAAGAGUGCUCCAAAGGAGUCAUCCACAGAUCAAAGGAUUCUUGGGAAGACAUAAGACAAAGAUCACAAACUCAUGGCCCAAGGCAAAUCUAGUCGAAGUGACGGAGUGAGAAGGAGGAGGCGUUCAACAAACGAAUAUGAACGUUUGAAUCCGUGGGAGGCGCUAGGAAGAAGCUAAAACAAGGGGACACGGGUUCGAGCCCUGGUCCGGGGAGAUCCCACAUGCCGCGGAGCAACUAAGCCCGUGCGCCACAACUACAGAGCCUGCGCUCUAGAGCCCGCGACCCACAACUACUGAGCCCGCAUGCCACAACUACUGAAGCCCGCGCGCCUAGAGCCCGUGCUCUGCAACGAGAAGGCACCGCAAUGAGAAGCCCGCACGCCGCAACGAAGAGUAGCCCCCACUCGCCACAACUGGAGAAAGCCCACGCGCAGCAACGAAGACCCAACGCAUCCAAAAUUCUAGAAGCCAGACGUCCAAGAUCUAUUACACGGGGCUGAAAUCAAGGUGCUGGCAGGGCCCUGCUUCCUCAGAGGCUUCAGAGGAGAAUCUGUUUUCUUACCUUUUCCAGCUUCUAGAACGUGCACUCCUUGCGUUCCUUGGCUCGUGGCUUCUUCCGUCAUCUUCAAAGCCAGCAGGCAUGCGGGAUCGCAGUUCCCCGACCAGGGAUGGAACCUGUACCCCCUGCAGUGGAAGCGAAGAGUCUUAACCGCUGGCCCUCCGGGGAAGCCCCUCAAGGUCCUUAAUUUAGUCACAUCAGCAAAAACCUUUUUGCCAUCUAAGGUAGCAUUCCAAGGUGCCAGAGAUUAGGACCUGGCUAUCUUUGGGGGCCAUUGUUCAGCCUACCACAGAAGGCCUUCAGUGACCAGAGUCAAACGCCUUCAGGUGACCCCACGAAAUCAGAAUGAGGCAAGUAGAGCAGGUGUGGACAGCGGCGAAUGGAGUGUGGACGCCUGUCUAGAGGGGAAACCGAAACUCUGCUCCAGCCACCGUUGGAUCUUCAUCCAAAUCUUCUAAAACCCGGUAUCUUGAUUUUUAAUGACUAGCAACAAAUUUUGAUGUUUAAAGAAUAAAGAUUUUUAUUAAAAGUGUAAAUUGCAUUCAGUAGCCUCCAAACCCCAACGGUAGGUCAUUCUUGAGCAGUCCAUCAAUUAGGACAAAG